UCUCGAUUGGUCUAGUGGUAAGGAUACCUGCUUGUCAUGAUAGCUUAACCAGCUCGCAGGUGGCCGGGGUUCGAUUCCCCGAUCGAGAG